rnacentral:rRNA from 1 species
CAAAGAACUUUGAAGAGAGAGUUCAAGAGGGCGUGAAACCGCUGAGAUGGAAACGGAUAGAGUUGACGAAACUCGGCGACAUUCAACCGGUUGGCUUGGCGGCCCUGCGGUUUUGCGCCUCGAUGGGGGCAAAGACGUGGCCAGCUGCAAAGCAGAAACGACCGGUGUAUUUGCCGUCGGUAUGCGCCGAGAAAUUCGCCUUCGUGCGCCGACACUUGCGUAGUGGACCACUCCUUCUAGGUGUGGAACCCUGCACAUGGUUAGGCGUAUUGGAGGUGAAUGUUCUAUGUGAGUCUCCGCCGUAGCGCAGCGGUUAUCGCGAGGCGGGCACGGCCGUUGGGCGGUCGCGUGCGACUUGCCUACGGUUGUUGUUGGUCCGCGUGUAAUGCGGUUGCGUUGAGACAAGCUCUCGGUGUGAAAGUUGACCACCUAUCCGACCCGUCUUGAAACACGGACCAAGGAGUCUAGCAUAUGCGCGAGUCAUUGGGUGGAAAACCUAAAGGCGUAAUGAAAGUAAAGGUCGUCUUGAUACGGCUGAUAUGGGAUCCGUUUGGUUUCGGCUGAGCGGCGCACCAUAGUCCCGUCCCCGUUGCUUGCAAUAGGGCGGAGAUAGAGCGCAUACGCUGGGACCCGAAAGAUGGUGAACUAUGCCUGAGCAGGAUGAAGCCAGAGGAAACUCUGGUGGAGGUCCGAAGCGGUUCUGACGUGCAAAUCGAUCGUCUGACUUGGGUAUAGGGGCGAAAGACUAAUCGAACCAUC